rnacentral:rRNA from 1 species
UACGUAGGGGGCAAGCGUUAUCCGGAUUUACUGGGCGUAAAGCGCGUGUAGGCGGUUGGGCAAGUUGGUUGUGAAAUCCCCCGGCUCAACCGGGAAACUGCAGCCAAAACUGCGCGGCUAGAGUGGCAGAGAGGAAAGUGGAAUUCCCGGUGUAGUAGUGAAAUGCGUAGAUAUCGUGAGGAACACCAGCGGCGAAGGCGACUUUCUGGCUGCUAACUGACGCUGAGACGCGAAAGCGUGGGGAGCGAACAGG